GGAAUCUGCAAACAGUACUAUCCUUUGGCUACCAGAACCUGGAUGACUUACAAUCUCCAUAGACGCUCAUCACAACUUACAAUGAACAAGACUGACAUAAAGGAAGAGGACAUUUAUGACUUUCUACCCGACCAUUUGUCUACUGACACAAAAGAUAGUUGUACUUGGACACCAAUUUGCAAAGAAGAACCAGGUUUGUCACCUGAAGUUGAAAGAGAAGAGAAGUUUCAUGUCAUGCAAUUUAGUGGCACUUCUACAAUUCAGCCUUUAACUCCUUCACAACAGUCCGUAUCCUUGAAGGUGGUUAAAGAAGAAGACAUUUAUGAUUUCCUCCCGGAGUAUUUGUACAGACCAAAGGAGGAAGUGAAUGAAACUGAGACAUCAGACGUAAAAGAAGAAGAAGCUCUGGACAUGAAAUGUGAAACAGAUUCUUCCCUAACGGGACACAAUGCAGCCAUGGCUCCAGCAGGUACCACGGGUGAAAAGAACUGUGAAACAAAAGACUUAUCAUCAAAGCACAAGAGAACCCAUAGAGCAGAGGAGCAUUACCAGUAUGUUACAUGUGGACAAGGCUUUGUACGGAAAAAUGAUAUCAUCAGGCAUCAGAAAUACCAUACUGGGGAAAGGCCUUACCAGUGUACUACAUGUGGGAAAAGCUUUGUAGAAAAAAGGACCCUCAUCACUCAUCAAAAAACCCAUACUGGUGAAAAGCCUUACCAGUGUACUACAUGUGGAAAAGGGUUUACAAGGAAAUGUAAUCUCAUUACUCACCAGACAACCCAUACUGGGGAAAGGCCUUACCAGUGUACUACAUGUGGAAAAGGAUUUCCCAAUAAAAGUAAUUUGAACAGGCAUCAGAAAUACCAUACUGGUGAAAAGCCUUAACAUUGUACUAGAUGUGGGAAAAGGUUUACACAGAAAAUUCACCUUGUGAAAUUCACCAGAGAACCCAUACUGGGGAAAGGACUCACCAGUGAGCUGCAUUUGGAAAAGGCUUGGUACAGAAAGGUGAUCUCAACAGGCAUCAGAACAUUCACAUUGACUGCAAUUAACACUGCCUAAAACGUUAGAUAACCCAGCCUCUCAACACACAUACACCAUAGAAACUUUAUUCACAGUUUUCAAGUGUUGCUUUUCCUCAUUCAUAUCAUGAUUUUAUUCCUUUGCAUUGUACAAGUUGAUUACCUUAUGACAACUUGAAAAUCCUUCAGAAAUGUAUCAGUUAUUUUGUGUAUAUGACUAUUUCUUAAAUAAAGUGUUUUUUUCAUGGA